GAUGAACGCUGGUGGCGUGCCUAAUACAUGCAAGUCGAGCGAACAGAUAAGGAGCUUGCUCCUUUGACGUUAGCGGCGGACGGGUGAGUAACACGUGGGUAACCUACCUAUAGGACUGGGAUAACUUCGGGAAACCGGAGCUAAUACCGGAUAACAUUUGGAACCGCAUGGUUCUAAAGUGAAAGAUGGUUUUGCUAUCACUUAUAGAUGGACCCGCGCCGUAUUAGCUAGUUGGUAAGGUAACGGCUUACCAAGGCGACGAUACGUAGCCGACCUGAGAGGGUGAUCGGCCACACUGGAACUGAGACACGGUCCAGACUCCUACGGGAGGCAGCAGUAGGGAAUCUUCCGCAAUGGGCGAAAGCCUGACGGAGCAACGCCGCGUGAGUGAUGAAGGGUUUCGGCUCGUAAAACUCUGUUAUUAGGGAAGAACAAAUGUGUAAGUAACUGUGCACGUCUUGACGGUACCUAAUCAGAAAGCCACGGCUAACUACGUG
rnacentral:rRNA from 1 species